CGAAGCUUGCCUGACUCGACUGACGAAUGGAAAGCAGAACUGGCGCUUAAGUUAAGGGUAAGGAAAAGCCGUCUCUUGAAUAGAGAAAGAAGGGCUGAGGCAACGAGUUCAGCUGCUCAAUUGAAGCGGAGAAGCUAAGCUUUCAGUUUUACUUAAAACCUCAAGAACAGUCGGCAAUGGCACGAUCGUCCACCGCUGAAUUCACAUGUGUUAACUGUUCCUAUCCGAGUAAAUCCUUCGAACGACGUGGAAUGAUCCACCACGGUAAGAAAGUCCAUAAGAACUUAAAACACGGUUGUGGCAGCUGCCACAACCGCUUUGCAACACACGCAGAGCUGACUUCCCAUGCCUGCCCAGCUCCAACGAGAAGGGAUGGGAACGGUAACUACUGCUGCCCAGCCCCAACGAGAAGGGAUGGGAACGGUAACUACUGCUAAUUCCUGCAUGUGAAACUUUGAAUGCUACACAAUUUUAUGGAAGGAGUUCUUAAAAUAGUAUUUCUAUUUUCAUUUCAUUUAGGAAUUCUUUCACGCAUUGACACCAAAUUCUAAGAUGGUUUGGCUUUUUAAGUUGUUUUACGGUAUGUGUCUGGUUGCUUUUCAAUGCUUAGCGUGUUCAAUAUGAAAUCUGGUCUUGCGGUUGCAGUAUGUAUGCAAUUUGAAAGUACAUAUAGGGAUGUGCAAAAAAGUUUCAAAUCAAAAAAUCGUUUUU